GCUGCUGCCCAAGGACCGCGGAGUCGGACGCAGGCAGACCAUGUGGACCCUGGUGAGCUGGGUGGCCUUAACAGCAGGGCUGGUGGCUGGAACGCGGUGCCCAGAUGGUCAGUUCUGCCCUGUGGCCUGCUGCCUGGACCCCGGAGGAGCCAGCUACAGCUGCUGCCGUCCCCUUCUGGUGAGUGCCCCUCAGCCUAGGCAAGAGCUGGCAGCCUGGGUUUUCCCAAAGGGUCAUCUUGGAUUGGCCAGAGGAGGACGCCAGGCACAAGUCUGUGGUUUAUCAUUUUCCCUGUCUUUCUAGGACAAAUGGCCCACAACACUGAGCAGGCAUCUGGGUGGCCCCUGCCAGGUUGAUGCCCACUGCUCUGCCGGCCACUCCUGCAUCUUUACCGUCUCAGGGACUUCCAGUUGCUGCCCCUUCCCAGAGGCCGUGGCAUGCGGGGAUGGCCAUCACUGCUGCCCACGGGGCUUCCACUGCAGUGCAGACGGGCGAUCCUGCUUCCAAAGAUCAGGUGCAGCUGGGGUGUGGGUGCAGGGCAGGCAGACGGGC
rnacentral:lncRNA from 1 species